rnacentral:rRNA from 1 species
AGGACGAACGCUGGCGGCGUGCCUAACACAUGCAAGUCGAACGAGUCCAGACCUUCGGGUUUGAGGCGAGUGGCGGACGGGUGAGUAACACGUGAGCAAUCUGCCCCUGUGUGGGGGACAACCCGGGGAAACCCGGGCUAAUACCGCAUGGUCAGGUUUUUUCUUUGAAGAGCCUGGGAAAGACGGCCUCUUUACAAUGCUGUCAUGCAGGGAGAGCUCGCGGGCUAUCAGCUAGUUGGUAGUGGUAACGGCCUACCGAAGGCGACGACGGCUACGGGGUCUGAG